UACGGAGGGUGCAAGCGUUAUCCGGAUUCACUGGGUUUAAAGGGUGCGUAGGUGGGCUAGUAAGUCCGUGGUGAAAUCCCCGAGCUUAACUCGGGAACUGCCGUGGAUACUAUUAGUCUUGAAUAUCGUGGAGGUAAGCGGAAUAUGUCAUGUAGCGGUGAAAUGCUUAGAUAUGACAUAGAACACCGAUAGCGGGGGCAGCUUACUACGCGAUUAUUGACACUGAGGCACGAAAGCGUGGGGAUCAAACAGG
rnacentral:rRNA from 1 species